rnacentral:rRNA from 1 species
GAUGAACGCUGGCGGCGUGCCUAAUACAUGCAAGUCGAACGAAACUUCUUUAUCACCGAGUGCUUGCACUCACCGAUAAAGAGUUGAGUGGCGAACGGGUGAGUAACACGUGGGCAACCUGCCCAAAAGAGGGGGAUAACACUUGGAAACAGGUGCUAAUACCGCAUAACCAUAGUUACCGCAUGGUAACUAUGUAAAAGGUGGCUAUACUACCGCUUUUGGAUGGGCCCGCGGCGCAUUAGCUAGUUGGUAGGGUAAAGGCUUACCAAGGCAAUGAUGCGUAGCCGAAUUGAGAGGUUGAUCGGCCACAUUGGGACUGAGACACGGCCCAACCUCCUACGGGAGGCAGCAGUAGGGAAUCUUCCACAAUGGGCGAAAGCCUGAUGGAGCAACGCCGCGUGGGUGAAGAAGGUCUUCGGAUCGUAAAACCCUGUUGUUAGAGAAGAAAGUGCGUGAGAGUAACUGUUCACGUUUCGACGGUAUCUAACCAGAAAGCCACUGCUAACUACGUG